rnacentral:rRNA from 1 species
UACGGAGGAUGCGAGCGUUAUCCGGAUUUAUUGGGUUUAAAGGGUGCGUAGGCGGCUUUUUAAGUCAGCGGUGAAAUUUUGCAGCUCAACUGUAAAAGUGCCAUCGAUACUGGUUUUCUUGAGUGUGGAUGAAGUAGGCGGAAUUUGUGGUGUAGCGGUGAAAUGCAUAGAUAUCACGAGGAACUCCGAUUGCGCAGGCAGCUUACUAAACUACUACUGACGCUCAUGCACGAAAGCGUGGGGAGCAAACAGGAUUAGA